CUACAUCUUAGGGGACUCAACGACCUUCAUGAUUGAACUAAAGCACCAUUGACGAGACUCGGGUUCAGGAUAUUACAGUGAGCUAGAAGAUGAAGCUUCAUACAAAAUUUCAAGGACCUUGCAGUUGCAGAUCCAACAGAAUUUGUAUAUCUCUUUCUUCACCAGCUCUCUAUGAGUUGUUAUCCAAGACCUGAUGAUAGUCACGGACAUGGUAUGACUUCUGACUAGCAUAUUUUUUGAAUAUCUGUUUGCUAGAGUCAUAUUUGGUAUCCAAAUUAUUACCUCUCAUGAUACAAGGCACACACAAUACAACUAUAUGUGCUGUGAUACCAUGAUUAUAUUAUAUGUGGACUAACGUCACUUGUGCAAGAUAAUUGCUAAGUGAAUGCAGAUUAGUGAUAUGAUGAGUUUGUUGGAAAGUUGCAAUUCUUUAUGGUCUACUAGUUAGCCUAAAUAAUGAUGGCAUUAAAAGGAAGUCAAGGAUCUUUUGAAUAUGCGCAUUUUGGAAGAUUCUAGAUCUGCCAAGACUUAUGCCAACAGCCACUGGACUUGAUCAGUACAACAGAGGUACAUCAACUGAAAUGUCAAGUCUCAGAGGUAUUCAACUUAUCACUUUACUUAACUGCAAGUGGAUAACAUACUAUAUUUUUAAUAAGGUAUUACUUAUUUCAUGAGCAUGUCUAUCGUAUUUAUUAAAUGAAUUCAUGAGUAUUAAAUUGUCUAUACUUAGGACUUGUGAAUUUAUUUAAAAUCCAGUACCUCGUGCUUUUUGCUAUUAUAUGUGAUUGCCAUGUUUUUUGCUUUGCAUGCUUAGAUGGUGAUUAUUCAGUUUUAGCAUGAGUGUUUGUUAUUUCAAAUUAUUUAAAUUGUGUUGCAUGACAAUUAAGUGACUUAUUUGUUCAUGAUUUAUAUGAUUAGGGAUGACAUGAAGCAUGACUUAAUUAUGUUAUUUUUCUUGAUCUAUACCUCUUUAACCAUUGGUAUCUAGUAGAGAACUUUGUCAUAAUCUAGUCGUGAUAUAUCUGUAUUUGUGAACAUACUUAGGAUUAUUUUCUAGGUUGAAUUCAUUUUUAUAGGUAUAAAAUCUGAAGCAUGACUUAUCAUGUAUAACUUUGUUAAAACACUUUGUUUCAGAUUCCCUAGUACAAUUAGACUUGCUUAUUUAUCUGAAUUGUUUGUUAAGGAAUAUAUUUGUUCUAUGAUGGAAUGUCCACCUUGUGUCAGUAGAACUUUAGAACUUCAUGUUAGAUCUAAAAAUGACUUAGGUAAUAGAGAUAGUAUAAUGCCAUAUAACAACAGAUUGGGAUUAGUAUGAAUUGAUAAUGUGAUUAUUAAUUUCUUGUGUCUAAUCCUUAUGCUUUUAGAAGAUUAUUGAAUAUAUGUAAUUCUACUUGCUACCUGUUGCACUUGUGUUAAUUGGUUUAAGUAGAGAGUACUGAAUCUUCUGAAUUGCAUAACUGCCUGUCUUGCUCUUGUCUUAUCUUUGAUUGUUUGCCAUGUGUAUUCAACAUCAUGUCUGCUUAUUUUCAUGUCAUGAAUGCAUGUCUUUGUACUUGCAUUGAUUUUAGAAAAGCAUGUUUGAGAAUCACAUUAGGGCAAUGUCUAGAUAAGAAUUAGCAUGUUAAGGUUGCUUCUGUUGUUACCACUGUUAAAGAAAAAUCUCUAAUCCAUCCGGACCCAGUUAUGAUUGGGGACCAUAGAACUCUUUCCAUUUGUGAUUGCAGGUUACAUAUGAUCCAUAUGAUUUUUGGUGCACUCUGUUUGCUGAGUAGCUGAAAUCAUAUGAUUCACCAAAAGUACCCUGUUAGCAAAUGUGAUCGUGUGAGCAGUUCCGUCAAUAAUCUUUGAAAGAUGACAACAAAGUUUCUAUUGCGGGACAUGCCUGUUUUCCUGGAAUGUCAUCAUGGAAGCAUAUCUUUCUUGGAAGAGUCAAAGCACACAAAUUCCUAGUAUCAGACUGUUCUCUAACAAAUGACAGUAUGUCAGUUCAUGGAAUAGUGUUUUAUCUCAAAUCAGGAAGGAUGUGAAUUUUGCUCGUAGCUAAUAUGGAACUUCAACUGAAGAUGGAGUGAGCUGUUUUGAUAGUGAAGCCUCAUCAGAUGAGUAUUAGCUAUGGCACUUGAAGCUCUCGCACUUGUAUGUCAAAACAAGGAGCUCUUUCUAUUCGUAAGAAGAGAAUUGGUGAGAGGACUACCUCAUCUGGAAUUCAAUAUGGAUGAAGAUUAUGAGGUAUGUCAAUAGGGAAGUCGAAGGAGCAUCGCACAGAAGCAAAGAUAUGAUCAACAUUACUGAGCCGCUUCAGAUGAUACGUAUGGAUUUCUACGGAUCAGCUAAUGUCAUGUCUGCAAACAAAGCCAGAUAUCUUUUUGCGAUGAUCAUUGACUACUCUAGAUUCUUUCGUGUUGUUCGUAUGUGUUCGAAGGACAAGACGUCACAAAUGAAGGUUGAUCAAGAUGAACCCUGAUCAUUGAUAAAUCCAGAAAGACACCAUUCUUGUCAGUGGCCAAUCAGAAGCAAACACUAACUCUUGGUAUGUGUUUGGAGGAAAAUGCCUCUUUGCAAGUCUUGCAUUUGAAGCUCAAAGAAUAUUUUCCUCGGCUACUCAAUGGAGUCUACAGUCUACAGGGUGAUUGUGAUUAAUCAACAGAAGGUGAUUGUAAGUCUGGACAGGACAUUGAACGACACUUUGCUCCAAGCUGUUAAAGGUGAUAUUAUUGGUUUAAUAAUGAUUCAGAUCCAAGCAGAAUCUCUUUGCAAGGAUAAGGAUUAUUAAGGAAAUCCCAGCAACAGCUUAGGGGGAGCAUUUGGUGGAUCCACUAGUCAAACUCAACACCACAUUGAAGAUGAACAGGACAUAUCAAGAACGUAUCUGCUUAGACAAAGGGUUUGGAGUCAAUAUCAUUCCCGGGUUCUAGUUCUUAAAUGUUCCUAAUGGUGAAGUGAAGACUGGGAGAGCUAUUGUGAAAGGAUGUUAUUUCUUUGGGUUUCAAUCUGAAGUGAAACUUGAGGAAGAUUCAGAAGCUCUUAAAGGGAUCCAGAUUGAGUGAUUGCACAGCAAGAUGAUCUCAAUCAGUUGGAAAGCAGAUUGUGCGGAUUCUGAUACCCUGACCUAAAGACAAUUCAGUACUUAGUACUUGUCGGGUAUUCAGAUUCCAACUGGAUAUUUUUGGCUCUGUUACGAGGGACAAGCCAAUUUGGUUGCUUAGAGUUACUACAAAGGAGAAGGUUAUGAAGAUGAUGGAAACAGAAUCUUCAAGUUCAGGACUCUACAUCUUAGGGGACUCAACGACCUUCAUGAUUGAACUAAAGCACCAUUGACGAGACUCGGGUUCAGGAUAUUACAGUGAGCUAGAAGAUGAAGCUUCAUGCAACAUUUCAAGGACUUUGCAGUUGCAGAUCCAACGGAAUUUGUAUUCUCUUUCUUCACCAGCUCUCUAUGAGUUGCUAUCCAACACCUGAUGAUCGUCACGGACAUGGUAUGACUUCUGACUAGCAUAUUAUUUUAAUAUCUGUUUGCUAGAGUCAUAUUUGGUAUCCAAAUUAUUACCUCUCAUGAUACAAGGCACACACAAUACAACUAUCUGUGCUGUGAUACCAUGAUUAUAUUAUAUGUGGACUAACGUCACUUGUGCAAGAUAAUUGCUAAGUGAAUGCAGAUUAGUGAUAUGAUGAGUUUGUUGGAAAGUUGCAAUUCUUUAUGGUCUACUAGUUAGCCUAAAGAAUGAUGGCAAUAAAAGGAAGUCAAGGAUCUUUUGAAUAUGCGCAUUUUGGAAGAUUCUAGACCUGCCAAGACUUAUGCCAACAACCACUGGACUUGAUCAGUACAAGAAAGGUACAUCAACUGAAAUGUCAAGUCUCAGAGGUAUUCAACUUAUCACUUUACUUAACUGC
rnacentral:lncRNA from 1 species